UCCGCAGCAAGGAGAACGCCAGGGACAGCGGAAGUGGCCGCGCGGGCCUCUGGAGAGUGUAGUCUUUGGGAUGGAGAGGUGGUGGGCGAGCAGGCUUCGCCAAUGGCCGGGUGACUCUGACAUCUGCACCUCUCAUGCAACGAAGCUUAGGAGCUCACGUUAAGAUGCCCAGACCGCAAGGUGCACAUGUUUCUUCUCCGAGGGCCAAUGAGAUCUCGCGGACCACGAGAGAGUCGCAGAAAUGCCCGAAGAUUCUAGAAAAUGUGGUCCUGGCGCCCCGCCGGUGUUACGGAGGCAGGUGGACAGACUGUGCGCGCUGACCUUCAGCGGCACGGGGAAGGAAAAGGGGCUGGAGGUUGAAUCAAUCAAUCACUUGUUCAUGCCUGUGUAACGAAGCCUCCAUAAAAAAA